UCCUUGGUGAGCGGCGGACAUCGUG
rnacentral:sRNA from 1 species